GACGAACGCUGGCGGCGUGCUUAACACAUGCAAGUCGAACGGUGAUCCAUUUCGGUGGUGAUCAGUGGCGAACGGGUGAGUAACACGUGAGCAACCUGCCCCUGGCUCUGGGAUAACUCCGGGAAACCGGGGCUAAUACCGGAUAUGACACUUCAUCGCAUGGUGGGGUGUGGAAAGUUUUUCGGCUGGGGAUGGGCUCGCGGCCUAUCAGCUUGUUGGUGGGGUGAUGGCCUACCAAGGCGACGACGGGUAGCCGGCCUGAGAGGGCGACCGGCCACACUGGGACUGAGACACGGCCGAGACUCCUACGGGAGGCAGCAGUGGGGAAUAUUGCGCAAUGGGCGGAAGCCUGACGCAGCAACGCCGCGUGAGGGAUGAAGGCCUUCGGGUUGUAAACCUCUUUCAGCAGGGAAGAAGCGUGAGUGACGGUACCUGCAGAAGAAGCACCGGCUAACUACGUGCCAGCCGCCGCCGUAAAAC
rnacentral:rRNA from 1 species